rnacentral:rRNA from 1 species
AAGCAAUUAUACCGUGAAACUGCGAAUGGCUCAUUAAAUCAGUUAUCGUUUAUUUGAUAGUACCUUACUACUUGGAUAACCGUGGUAAUUCUAGAGCUAAUACAUGCUAAAAACCCCAACUUCGGGAGGGGUGUAUUUAUUAGAUAAAAAACCAACGCCCUUCGGGGCUUCUUGGUGAUUCAUGAUAACUUUACGGAUCGCAUGGCCUUGCGCCGGCGACGGUUCAUUCAAAUUUCUGCCCUAUCAACUUUCGAUGGUAAGGUAUUGGCUUACCAUGGUUUCAACGGGUAACGGGGAAUUAGGGUUCGAUUCCGGAGAGGGAGCCUGAGAAACGGCUACCACAUCCAAGGAAGGCAGCAGGCGCGCAAAUUACCCAAUCCCGACACGGGGAGGUAGUGACAAUAAAUACUGAUACAGGGCUCUUUUGGGUCUUGUAAUUGGAAUGAGUACAAUUUAAACCUCUUAACGAGGAACAAUUGGAGGGCAAGUCUGGUGCCAGCAGCCGCGGUAAUUCCAGCUCCAAUAGCGUAUAUUAAAGUUGUUGCAGUUAAAAAGCUCGUAGUUGAAACUUGGGUCUGGCUGGCAGGUCCGCCUCACCGCGUGUACUUGUCCGGCCGGGCCUUCCUUCUGGAGAACCUCAUGCCCUUCACUGGGCGUGUUGGGGACCAGGACUUUUACUUUGAAAAAAUUAGAGUGUUCAAAGCAGGCCUUUGCUCGAAUACGUUAGCAUGGAAUAAUAGAAUAGGACGUGCGGUCCUAUUUUGUUGGUUUCUAGGACCGCCGUAAUGAUUAAUAGGGACAGUCGGGGGCAUCAGUAUUCAAUUGUCAGAGGUGAAAUUCUUGGAUUUAUUGAAGACUAACUACUGCGAAAGCAUUUGCCAAGGAUGUUUUCAUUAAUCAGUGAACGAAAGUUAGGGGAUCGAAGACGAUCAGAUACCGUCGUAGUCUUAACCGUAAACUAUGCCGACUAGGGAUCGGGCGAUGUUCUUUUUCUGACUCGCUCGGCACCUUACGAGAAAUCAAAGUUUUUGGGUUCUGGGGG